rnacentral:lncRNA from 1 species
UCAGUUACAGGGGGCUGUUAUUAUCUGCUCGGCUUGCUUCUUUGGGCGUCGAGGUGUUGUCAAUCUGGCCUCUGAAACGCCCUGUGUGCCCGACCAAGCCUGACCGAGGCCCGGACCGCGGUGACUCGGAACCCAUCCCCAGACUGCAGGCUUGAAGGGAGGCCCAGAGCAAGGGGGCGGCCCGGCUUCGCGGACCUCCGGCUUGGUUCUCAGCUCGGUAACCCCAUCCACCUAUGAGGCUGGGAUGCGUAUGUUCGAGCCUGAACAACUCUUUUUCCCCUCUCCGAGCCUCAGGUUUUGUUUCGGCGUCUGGAGCGAUGGGGAUGGUGCGCAGUUCCCCAGACGGAUUCCAGUCUAACCCGCCAGCCACGCAAGAUGCAGCCCUUUUCUCCGGAUCGCACUCUGGAUCGCGACCCCGUCCUCCUGGGGACGAGCAGAGUCUUAACCCGGAGCCGGCGUCUCCGGAUUCCCCACCCGGGCUGAGAUCGCCCGGGGCUGCGGGGUCCAAGCGGCGCCGGGAAGGAAGCUCGGUGGACAGGCUAAUUAGGGACCCAACCUGGCGGCUGAUGACGAAACCGGGAAAGGCUUUGGCCUUUGGAAAACGCAAUCCUUAAAUGAAUAUGGCUGGAUUCCGGGCUGAGAUUAGGAGUUCGAGCCGGAGAAGUCCAGCGGGACUGCAGAGACGCGCUUUCAGGUAGGUUUGGGUCGUUCCAGCGGCUCAGCUCCGGCGGAGCGACUGAGCAAGACAAAAUCAGCCUCCGACUUCGAGCCGACCCCUCGGUUUGGAUCACUUCUGUGCUGGAGCUUGUGAAACCUCUGAACCACGUUGCCCGACCCCGGCCCCAUAAGAAAAACGGAGUUUCCGGCGCCCACUUUCAAAGUGCGUGCGGGCACAAUGGAAACGCGGGACGAAGCGCCAGUCCUGGUAGGUGCCAGGUGCCAAUCUGCCCGCCGCGCUGUUUACGCAGCAAGAAGUCCUCGCAUCCUUUCUGCCUCUGUUCCGAGUCACCGGAGCCUCCCAUCUGAACACUGACCUCGGAAAGGUAUCAAUCAUCAGGAACCACUUCAGAUUUAUUUGGGCAACAGAAAGCUGAGUUUAAGAUCCUUCUCAGCGUCCUCCACCUGUCACCAUUUUAUCGUGACGCCUCAAAACCCAAGCCUGACAGCAGUUCUGUAUUGUUUCCACUGGGAGAGGGAGGCUGGGUAGCAAAGGGACUUGAACGAACCACCUUCCCACUUCAAACCGAAGAGUGUUUGCUCGGAGUCCAUCUCCUUGGAAGGAGAUAGGAAUGGUAAACGGAAUGCGAUUUCACACACUCCUGAAAGGGGAGCCGGCUUCCAUCCCCCAGCCCAGCGAAUGCGCCUCGUUACCAUGUCCACUUGCAAACAGCUAUAAGGACCCUUUUCCUCAGUUUUAAGUUUGAUGUGUUGGUAGCUGGGAGAUUUCAAGUUCAAGAUUUUCCCUUGAUCAUGUACAAAUGAUUUAGAUGCUGGCCGAUCUCCGCCUCACCACUUAUUUAAAGCUUAUCUUUCACUGUACUUUUUCUGAAAAACUCCUCGCAGCAAUUCCACCUCUUUUCCAUAAGUAACAAGCUGCCAGAGGAAACAUUUCAAAGUAUUUCAGUAGUUUCAGUUCACUCCCC